UUGGAGGGCAAGUCUGGUGCCAGCAGCCGCGGUAAUUCCAGCUCCAAUAGCGUAUAUUAAAGUUGCUGCAGUUAAAAAGCUCGUAGUUGAAUUUCGGGACUAUCAUGUCGGUCGUGCCUCGGUACGUACUGGUAUUGUUGGUUUCUCCCUUCUGACGAACCACGAUGUCAUUUAUUUGGUGUUGUGGGGAAUCAGGACUGUUACUUUGAAAAAAUUAGAGUGUUUAAAGCAGGCUCACGCUUGAAUACAUUAGCAUGGAAUAAUGAAAUAGGACGUUUGAUUCUAUUUUGUUGGUUUCUAGGAUCGACGUAAUGAUUAAUAGGGAUAGUUGGGGGCAUUAGUAUUCAAUUGUCAGAGGUGAAAUUCUUGGAUUUAUUGAAGACUAACUACUGCGAAAGCAUUUGCCAAGGAUGUUUUCAUUAAUCAAGAACGAAAGUUAGGGGAUCGAAGACGAUCAGAUACCGUCGUAGUCUUAACCAUAAACUAUGCCGACUAGGGAUCGGACGAAGUUAAUUUUAUAAUGACGCGUUCGGCGCCUUACGGGAAAC
rnacentral:rRNA from 1 species